rnacentral:rRNA from 1 species
UACGGAGGGUGCGAGCGUUAAUCGGAAUUACUGGGCGUAAAGCGUGCGCAGGCGGUUUGUUAAGCGAGAUGUGAAAGCCCCGGGCUCAACCUGGGAACCGCAUUUCGAACUGGCAAACUAGAGUCUUGUAGAGGGGGGUGGAAUUCCUGGUGUAGCAGUGAAAUGCGUAGAGAUCAGGAGGAAUACCGGUGGCGAAGGCGCCCCUCUGGACGGUAACUGACGCUGAGGCGCGAAAGCGUGGGGAGCAAACAGG